CUGAGGGUCUGAGCCGCCCCCCUCCCGGGCCUGGGCGGCUGCCGCGAGGUUCUGGUGGAGGGGCUGGCACGGUCACAGGAUCAGGAUUAGCUGGGUCAGAAAAGACCGCUGAGAGAGCAUCGAGUCCUGCCUUCGACCAAGCACCACCAUGUCAACUAGACCACGGCACUAAGUGCAACGUCCUGUCUUUCCUUAAACACUUGCAGGGAGGAUGACUCAACCACCUCCCUGGACAAUCCAUUCCAAUGUCUAAUCACCCAUUCUGUGAAGACACUCUUCCUGAUGUCCAACCUGAGCCUCCUUUGUAGCAACCUGAGGCCGCUUCUUUUUGCCCUGUCGCUUGUUGCCUGGGAGAAGAGGCUGAUCCCCAGCUGCCUGCAGCCUCAUUUCUGCUGGUUGUCGAGAGCGAUAAAGUCACUCCUGAGCCUCCUCUAGGCUAAACACUGCCAGUUCCCUGAGGAGCGCUUCAUGGGACACGUGUUCCAGAUCCUUUACCAGCUUUGCUGCCCUUCUCUGUACAUGCUCCAGCACCUCAAUGUCCUUCCUGAAUUGAGGGGCCCAAACCUCACAGCCUCACCAGUGCCAAGUACAGGAUCCCGCGGGCCUCACAAUUUCUGACACAGACAAGGAUGCCAUUGGCCUUGGCCGCCUGGGCAUACUGCUGCCUCGUGUUUGUUCAUCGAGGUCACCAGGUGUUGACUCAGCCCUCUCCUCUGGCCCAGUACUUGGGGUUUUGACAGAGAGCUGCCAGAGGAAAGCCAAGGGGAUAAACCAGGGCCUGGCUGGUGCUACAGUUUGGUGUGACAGCAGGCACAGAACACUCUGGAAAAGCAAGGGUAAAUGUCUCAGAUCAUUCAGGUCUCAAGAAAACAUCAUAAAUAAGGAAGUACAGCACAAGUAAAACUGGAUCUGAAAUACUAUAUCAACAUUUUUGAGGUAUUUUGAAAUACUGUCAGACAGGAGAUGACACAUUAGUAAAGCUUCAAAUCUGUUUGAAAAGAUUGAAAAUUUUCUUGGUUUCCCAUCAAGUACGUACCAUGAAUUCUGAAGUAUUUAGAAAAAUCUUGUACUUAGGUUUUCUGCUCAUUCCUCAUCAUUGUUUAACUACUUAUUUUUCAACUUAAAUAAAAUGAAAACUUUAUUCAGGAGCUCAGCAGCAUAUUACUUACUGUAAGAUCAAAUAGUAAGUUUGAUCCGUUAUCAGAUCAGUAGACAUACAGGGGAACUAAAAUUAGCUAGUGUUUUGGAAGAAGCUGUCAUGUCAUAAUAAGUUGUGAUAGACUCACCAGUCUUAUUAAAUAAUGCUUGUUGGCAGCUUUUCAUUCUAAUUUUGAAACUUUUGUAAUCUUAAAGUUUGUGAUGUAGGCAAGCAAUCAUUUCCUCAUGUUAAGAGAAGCAGAUGUCUUAAAUCUACGCACAGAUCUGAUAAGUAGCAAUAAAAUAACCCUCUUGCUGAUUGAUCAGAUACUUUACCAUAAACUGUACCUUUCUUACUAUUUAUAGGAAACACUCUGGCAAAUAGUUAUGUCAUCUCUUUUAUUUCCCAAUAAACUCUGAACUGUUUGUUUUCAUA